AACGCAAUUUGCACCUCGCGGCUCUUGUCACGAGGUAUACUUGUUUGAGUAUCCGUAACCAUCUCACCUCGCUCUCGGGCAGAAGUGAAGCUGAGAUUCGAUAAGCACCAGCGAGUCGUCUCUUGAAAAAUAUGGCUCGUCUGUGGGAGGUCUCCGUCGAGACCUGACCGACCAUUUGGAUAACGUCCUACAAUUGUCGUGUCAGUGUCCUAGUUGGCGUUGAUUAACCUUGGCCACCCCGAUCCAGCAGUCACCUUUUACUGGGGUCUGCGAAAUCACUAUAUUUACAACUGGAUCUCAAAUCAAGUAAGGAUACCCGCUGAACUUAA
rnacentral:misc_RNA from 1 species